rnacentral:tRNA from 1 species
GCGGGCGUAGCUCAACGGUAGAGCUCCAGCCUUCCAAGCUGGCCACGGGGGUUCGACUCCCCUCGCCCGCU